GCACUUGCUUUGACAGUACAAUACUAAAAUUAGAAUGAUACAGAGAUUAGCAUGGUCCCUGCCUGAGGAUGACAGGCAAAUACGUGAAUUGUUCCUUACUUUU
ensembl:snRNA U6 U6 spliceosomal RNA